GAUGAACGCUAGCGGCAGGCUUAACACAUGCAAGUCGAGGGGUAACAGGGUGCUUGCACCGCUGACGACCGGCGCACGGGUGCGUAACGCGUAUAGAACCUACCUUUUACAGGAGAAUACCCCAGAGAAAUUUGGAAUAAUGCUCCAUAGUAUUAUUGAAUGGCAUCAUUUGAUAAUUAAACAUUUAUGGGUAAAAGAUGGCUAUGCGUUCUAUUAGCUAGAUGGUAAGGUAACGGCUUACCAUGGCAACGAUAGAUAGGGGUCCUGAGAGGGAGAUCCCCCACACUGGUACUGAGACACGGACCAGACUCCUACGGGAGGCAGCAGUGAGGAAUAUUGGACAAUGGAGGCAACUCUGAUCCAGCCAUGCCGCGUGCAGGAAGACGGUCCUAUGGAUUGUAAACUGCUUUUAUACAGGAAGAAACACUCCCUCGUGAGGGAGCUUGACGGUACUGUAUGAAUAAGCACCGGCUAACUCCGUGCCAGCAGCCGCGGUAAUACGGAGGGUGCAAGCGUUAUCCGGAAUCAUUGGGUUUAAAGGGUCCGUAGGCGGGCUAAUAAGUCAGGGGUGAAAUCCAACAGCUUAACUGUUGAAUUGCCUUUGAUACUGUUAGUCUUGAGUUAUAUGGAAGUAGAUAGAAUGUGUAGUGUAGCGGUGAAAUGCUUAGAGAUUACACAGAAUACCGAUUGCGAAGGCAGUCUACUACGUAUAU
rnacentral:rRNA from 1 species